AUUGAACGCUGGCGGCAGGCCUAACACAUGCAAGUCGAACGGUAACAGGAAGCAGCUUGCUGCUUUGCUGACGAGUGGCGGACGGGUGAGUAAUGUCUGGGAAACUUCCUGAUGGAGGGGGAUAAGUACUGGAAACGGUAGCAAAUACCGCAUAACGCCGCAAGACCAAAGAGGGGGACCUUCGGGGCUCUUGACAUCGGGUGGGCCCAGAUGGGAUUAGCUAGUAGGUGGGGUAACGGCUCACCUAGGCGACGAUCCCUAGCUGGUCUGAGAGGAUGACCAGCCACACUGGAACUGAGACACGGUCCAGACUCCUACGGGAGGCAGCAGUGGGGAAUUUUGCACAAUGGGCGCAAGCCUGAUGCAGCCAUGCCGCGUGUAUGAAGAAGGCCUUCGGGUUGUAAAGUACUUUCGGCGGGGAGGAAGGGAGUAAAGUUAAUACCUUUGCUCAUUGACGUUACCCGCAGAAGAAGCACCGGCUAACUCCGUG
rnacentral:rRNA from 1 species